GACGAACGCUGGCGGCGUGCUUAACACAUGCAAGUCGAACGGAAAGGCCCUGCUUGCAGGGUACUCGAGUGGCGAACGGGUGAGUAACACGUGGGUGAUCUGCCCUGCACUUCGGGAUAAGCCUGGGAAACUGGGUCUAAUACCGGAUAGGAGCCAUUUUUAGUGUGAUGGUUGGAAAGUUUUUUCGGUGUAGGAUGAGCUCGCGGCCUAUCAGCUGGUUGGUGGGGUAAUGGCCUACCAAGGCGGCGACGGGUAGCCGGACAGUGGGGGUGGACGGCCACACUGACACUUAGAGACGGCCCAGAUGCCGACUGGUGGACGAUGGGGGGAAUACUGCUCAAUGCGUGCCAGGCUGGUGAAGCGACGCCGCGUGUGGGAAAGCGGCCUUGUGGUUGAAGAAACGUUUCGCGAGAGACCAAGCCUGUUGUGACGGUACCUAGAGAAGAAGCACCGGCUAACUACGUG
rnacentral:rRNA from 1 species